UCCCUGGUGGACUAGUGGCCAGGAUGCCGUGCUCUCACCGCAGCACUCACUGCCGUGCUGCGCUCUCACCGCCACAACCCAGUGGCUGGGGUUCGAUUCCCGGUCAGGGAA